rnacentral:rRNA from 1 species
UACGGGGGGGGGCAAGCGUUGUUCGGAAUUACUGGGCGUAAAGGGCUCGUAGGCGGCCAACUAAGUCGGACGUGAAAUCCCUCGGCUUAACCGGGGAACUGCGUCCGAUACUGGAUGGCUUGAGUUCGGGAGAGGGAUGCGGAAUUCCAGGUGUAGCGGUGAAAUGCGUAGAUAUCUGGAGGAACACCGGUGGCGAAGGCGGCGAUCCUGGACCGACACUGACGCUGAGGAGCGAAAGCCAGGGGAGCAAACGGGG